UAAUUUUUCCCCUCAGUUGUAAAACCCACCCCCAUCCCAACAGCCUGCCGGACCGGAGACGACGCCGGCCGGUACAUAUAACGCCGGGUAGUUCUCCGGUGCUCUCUAUUCGGCGGCAGCAGAGAAGAAACUGAGACGCCGGUUCCCUCUGGUUCUCCGGGGCCCCUCAAUUUCUCCCUUUCUCUCUCACACAGACCGCUAACAGAGAAACAAUUUCUCUGUCACCCAAAAAUUGGUGGAUCACAUUUAACUGAACUUAAUGUUUAAUUUCUUUGAACCACACAUCAACAAGUUACCAGCUACUGUCAAGUUUGGGAAAUUGAGGGCCCAUCUCAAUUUCUCUUCUCUACUGCGGCUGGAGAGAGAGCACUGGCAGCAGAGAAAUGACCAAACAACUUUAUUUGUACAAAUAACUUCGUACUUGGCGUUAUUUGUACCGGCCGGCGUCUUCUCCGGCAAGGUCUGGCCUGGGCUCCGACAAGGUCUCCAGCGGGCUCUUGGGAUGGGGGUGGGUUUUACAACUGAGGUAAAAAAUUAUGGGUUUUGUGACUUGAGGAGAAUUAAUCAUGUGUUUUCGUUCUUGUUUGAAUUUGUGUGAUUUGCUUACGUGUUCAAUUUUAAUUGGUAAGCACAAAGGACCUGGUUUACACCAGGUCCUUAUAACAGUUAUCCUCUUAUUUAUAUAUUUUUUAAAUUUAUUAUUAAA